AAAACAUCGCCUCUUGCAAAGUAAUGAAUAAGAGGUCCCGCCUGCCCUGUGACUCUAAGUUUAACGGCCGCGGUAUUUUGACCGUGCGAAGGUAGCGCAAUCACUUGUCUUUUAAAUGGAGACCUGUAUGAAUGGCAUAACGAGGGCUUAGCUGUCUCCUUUCUCUAGUCAAUGAAAUUGAUCUCCCCGUGCAGAAGCGGGGAUAGAACCAUAAGACGAGAAGACCCUAUGGAGCUUUAGACGCCAAGACAGACCAUGUUAAACACCUCCCCACAAGGAGCCCGAACCAAAUGGUCCCUGCCCUAGUGUCUUUGGUUGGGGCGACCGCGGGGAACCAUAAAACCCCCAUGUGGAAUGGGAGCACCCUCUCCUACAACUAAGAGCUACAGCUCUAAUGAACAGAAUUUCUGACCAACAAGAUCCGGCAAUGCCGAUCAACGGACCGAGUUACCCUAGGGAUAACAGCGCAAUCCCCUUUUAGAGCCCAUAUCGACAAGGGGGUUUACGACCUCGAUGUUGGAUCAGGACAUCCUAAUGGUGCAGCCGCUAUUAAGGGUUCGUUUGUUCAACGAUUAAAGUCCUACGUG
rnacentral:rRNA from 1 species